UACGUAGGGUCCGAGCGUUGUCCGGAAUUACUGGGCGUAAAGCGUGCGUAGGUGGUGAGUUAAGUCUGUCGUGAAAGCCCCGGGCUCAACCUGGGAAUGGCGAUGGAUACUGGCUCGCUAGAGUGCGGUAGAGGAGAGUGGAAUUCCCGGUGUAGCAGUGAAAUGCGUAGAGAUCGGGAGGAACAUCAGUUGCGAAGGCGGCUCUCUGGACCAGCACUGACACUGAGGCACGAAAGCGUGGGGAGCAAACAG
rnacentral:rRNA from 1 species